rnacentral:lncRNA from 1 species
GACUCGACUAAAAGGUACGUCUUAUAGGAAUCAAAGGGAGUGACUCGACUAAAAGUUACGUCUUCUAGGGGGCAAGGAGAAUGACUUGACUAAAAGAUACAUCUUAUAGGAAUCACGAGGAAUGACUCGACUAAAAGGUAUGUAUUAUAGGAAUCAAAGGGGAUGACUCGACUAUAAGGUAUGUCUUAUAGGAAUUAAAAGAAAUGACUUGACUAAAAGGUACGUCU